rnacentral:rRNA from 1 species
GGAGGAAAGCAGGGGAUCGCAAGACCUCGCGCUAUUAGAGUGGCCGAUGUCCGAUUAGCUAGUUGGUGGGGUAAAGGCCCACCAAGGCGACGAUCGGUAGCUGGUCUGAGAGGAUGAUCAGCCACACUGGGACUGAGACACGGCCCAGACUCCUACGGGAGGCAGCAGUGGGGAAUUUUGGACAAUGGGCGCAAGCCUGAUCCAGCCAUGCCGCGUGAGUGAAGAAGGCCUUCGGGUUGUAAAGCUCUUUCGGCCGGAACGAAAUCGUCCGGGCUAAUACCUCGGAUGGAUGACGGUACUGGAAGAAGAAGCACCGGCUAACUACGUGCCAGCAGCCGCGGUAAUACGUAGGGUACAGGCGUCAAUCGGAAUUACUGGGCGUAAAGCGUGCGCAGGCGGCUUCCUAAGUCAGAUGUGAAAUCCCCGGGCUUAACCUGGGAACUGCGUUUGAAACUACAAAGCUAG